CUUCAGGAAGUGCCGGGCGGAGUAAAGGCGGACGAGAAGAAACUAGAGAAGGAAUUGGUUUGGGGAAGAAAGUUGCUGCUCUCGACAUGGAGCGAUGGAGUCUCAUUGCUGUAGUACUCAUUGUCAAUUUAACAGUUCGUUGGGCGGUGUCCCUGAACCCUUACUCAGGUGCUAGUAAGCCACCGAUGUAUGGAGACUAUGAAGCUCAGAGACACUGGCAGGAGAUUACGCUCAAUUUACCCAUCCAUCAAUGGUACUUCAAUACAAGCAACAAUGAUCUCAAGUAUUGGGGACUUGAUUAUCCACCUUUAACUGCUUACCACAGUCUGCUUUGUGCAUAUGUAGCUGAAUCAAUAAAUCCUAAGUGGAUUGCUCUUCGUAUGUCUCGUGGGUAUGAGAGUCUUGAGCACAAACUAUUCAUGAGAGCAACAGUGCUUGCGGCAGACUUCAGUGUAUAUAUCCCGGCAAUCCUUUACUAUAUUCUUCACUGUGAAGGCCCAAAGACCAUGAAGGUAUCGUAUUUGUUGUGUGCAUUACUCUAUCCUGGACUACUGCUUAUUGACCAUGGGCAUUUUCAAUACAACUGUAUCAGCUUGGGCCUUGCCCUAUGGGGGUUGCUGGGCCUUUUGAAAGGCCGGGUCCUGUUGGGAUCCAUGGCAUUUUGCUUAGCUCUUAAUUAUAAGCAAAUGGAACUUUAUCAUGCUCUCCCAUUCUUCUGCUAUCUACUUGGAAGCUGUUUGAAAGACCUGAGCAGUGGAGGGUUAACCCGGUUGAUCAAAAUAGCUCUUGUUGUGUUGAUUUCAUUUGCUUGCUGCUGGCUGCCGUUCCUCACAAGUUUCCAGCAGUCUCUACAGGUGAUUCAAAGACUUUUCCCUGUUGAUAGGGGUUUGUUUGAGGAUAAAGUUGGAAAUGUGUGGUGCAGUUUAUCUAUAAUAUUGAAGGUGAAGAGGAUUCUAUCACAACAGACACAGAUAUGGCUCAGUUUUGCUGCAACACUUCUGACACUUCUGCCUACAUGCAUGAAGUUGACAAUGAAUCCCACAAUAAAGGGAUUCAAGUUUGCACUGGUCAAUUGUUCCUUAUCAUUUUUCCUGUUUUCAUUCCAAGUUCAUGAAAAAUCUAUACUUCUGGCAGCUAUACCUGUAAUAUUGAUUCUACAUGAACUGCCCUUCAUGACAACCUGGUUUUUGCUGGUAUCAACUUUUAGUAUGUUUCCCCUGUUGCUAAAAGAUGGCCUACUCCUUCCUUAUAUUGUUAGCUCUUUGACAUUCCUUCUUGUCACAAUAAAGUUGUUAUCAGCCUUUGAGAAAGUGUCCGUGGAGGAUCUGCAGCUCCAGCCGGUUUUGCAGAGCUUGAGGAGGUACAUCCCACACUUUGCAAUUUCAUCAUACGUUGCAAAGCUUUCAUUCCUUUUAUCUGUGAUAGCCAUGGCGAGUCUUAGUUUGAUUAGUGUAACACUAGUUCCUCCACCACAACUGCCAGACUUGUUCCCCGUCUUGGUGUCCCUAAUUUCUUGCUUCCACUUCUUGAUCUUCCUGGUGUACUUCAACAUUCUGCAUCUAUCGGAGCCUGUGUUCAAGAAGCAUCAACGGAAAGUGAAGUAGAGCACUGUUUGUUUUAUUGCAGUGCAAAAAUAGAAUCUGUUCCACUGUAUAUUACAGUAAAUAAAUGAUACUCUAUGGUCCAAAAUGUAAAAAUUAUCAUUUUAAAAAAUUAUGUAUUAACUUAUCUGCCUCAAUAUAUCAGUACAUGCUGAAGAAAGCACCAUGGAUCCUGGGUCUUCCUGCUGUAUUUGAUCUAACAGUUAGGAUGUUUCAUGUGACCACGGAAACACCGAUUUUAAAGAGAUGCUGCCUGGCCUGCUGAGUUCCUCCAGCAUUACGUGUGUGUGCUGCAAAGUUUGUGCUAGGCAGCCUGCAAACAUUGCCACGUUUCCAGUGCCAACAUUGCAUGCCCACAACUCACAAACAGUGGCGGUACAUCUCUACUGUACUGUGGGAGGAAACCGGAGCAUCCGGAGGAAAUCCACAUGGUCACGGAGAGGAACUCCUUAUAGAUAGCGACAGUGUAAUCCAUUGGCACUACUACUACCGGCCGUAAUGGACUUCAUUAACGAUGCAGCUAGAAUGGAAAAUAACACUUGAAUGUCGAUUGACUUGAAUUGCAUGUUAACAACUGAGUUUUGAGAGUAUUCAUGUAGUUUACUGUUUUGGGUGUACUUAGUAUCAGCCCAAUUCUCAAUAGACAUGGGUCCAUUGUAUACACAGUAAAUGUCUAAAGAUCAGUUCAAACCCUACAGUGCCCAUGAGCAUCAGGACACCUGUCCAAAGUUGAGGAAAGCUGGUGCAGAACCCAUUAAAUUUUGCACUGUACCUCACCAGUAUUGUAUUUCAUUGGGAUGAUUUAAUAUUGAUACAGGGAAUAUAGCUUAGAGAUUUCUUCCUUGCUAUUAUCUUAAAGGAAAAAAAAGGUUGUAAAUGGGAGAUAUGAGAGUUGUGUAAAAGAUGGUUACAGCAACUGAUGUAGUUGCUGUUUUAAAUUUUAUCACAAAAUAUUUUCCAUAUGAAUUGAGGUAGAAUUGUCUUUUUGUCAUUGUCAGUUGUUAAUUUAUUUAAGAUUUAUAUAUUACCAAAAUGUCCAUUUAAUAAUCUGAAACAGCUGAAAAUUACUAAUUUCAGUCACUUUAAAUCUGAAGCUUGUUGUUAUAAUAUGUAUAACACAGCAUUCAUUCUGUGUUCAUUUAUAUUCAUUUCUAAUAGUGAAGGCAACAAAGUUAUUAGCAAAUGGUUAAUAAAAUUAAGAUGUCAUGACCUACUGGAGGCCACACAUUCCCACCUGCUUUCUCAUCUCUUCUGGGUUUAUUUGUGUUUUAAUGGGCUUUGGAAUUUGGAAAGCAGCAUAACCAUGAGGUGAGCAAGAUUCUUUGCUCCCUCCAGCUGCACUGGAAAAUGACAUUCAUGACAUUCUGAGCAAAUGACAGGCCCAGAACAUUGAACGAGACACCUCCAGGGCAAUGCAAUGAAAAUCUCUUUUUAAUCAUGUGCUUGGUAAGGGUCAUGGCUGCCAAGCAGCUCAAGAAUGCUCAGAAGAAAUGGCAGUGAUCUCUCAUGUCAGUAGCUCAUUCUGUCAUAUAGAUGCAGACUGUCCUUUCCUGGUUAUUACUGCAGUAUAAAAACAUUAGUUUUAUGUUUGGGAUAGUUUUCCAUCCCCACCCCCUCUCUCCAGACCAUCACCCUCCUUCCAGCCCCAUCACCACCACCAUCCCUUCUCAGUUUUUUUCCCAGUUGGCUUCACAUGGUGAUAAAGUGAGAGCUAUAUGAUCUACCUGAUGCACAACUGGAAAAUGGAUCUUGGAAGCACCAGCUGUCGAAUGGCAGAAAGCUCCUGCAUUAACCAUUUAUUGACUAUGAUCAUCACUAUGUUGUACGUGUCAGGCAGGGAGUGGGAAUAGGUUAGUGAGAGUAAAGUAGUGUUGCUCCCAAGUAUUUAUGUAAAAAUUUGUAAUUUAAAAACAAAAGCUAGCCUCUGUGGAGCUACUGGAAAAAUAUAUUUAGGCCUGUAGUCUCCUUCAGAAUAUCUUCCAAUCAGUGUUAUGCUGCUGGCUCAACUUUACAUCUAAAGACAAAAAAAAUUGCUACUAUUUUUAAACAUUGACAUAUGCAAGAAUGCCAUUGAUUUGCUUCCUAGAUUUUGCUUCCAAUUUAAAUUCUAGAAAAGUGUUGGAAUUAAUUUCUUCUAUCAGAAGUCUUGAGCACAUUGUUGUUGCUUUAUUUGUCACGUACAUAGAAAAUACAGUAAAAUGCAUUUUUAAAAUCAAAUCAAUCAACAAGGAUUGCACUGGGCAGCCUGCAACUGUCACCAUGCUUCCAGUGCCAACCACCAAAUUAAUUUCCUUUUUGAAAAUCUCCUGCAGGAUUUUUCCCACUCUUGGGCUUUCCUUCCAUACUUCCCUCCUCCAUUUGCUGAUGCAUCUACCUUUCCCAAUUUGUAUUACUCAAUUUGUAUUUUAUUUAUGAAGCUGCAUUUCCGAAUCCUUUAAGAUGGUCAACCGAAGUCCAAUAUAUCUGGAUUUAUGAUUCUCAAAAAGAGGGUACUACACUGUAAGGCAAUCACCCCAUAAUCAAGUUCUACUGUUUCUUUCAAUCAUGAUUAAUCUAUAAUUGAAACUUUUCCAUAAACACUUUUCAUGAAUCCAUGAACACUACCAAAUUAUUGCUUUUCUUUUGUAGAUGUUUAUUUUUUUUAAUUUGUAGUAAUUUAAUGUCUUUGCAGUGUCUUGCUGCUGCAAUACAACAAAAUUUACAUCAUAUGAGGCAGUGAUGAUAAACCUAAUUUUGUGUCUAUUUCCUUUGAUGCCCUUAAAUAACAAAGUUUUGAAAACCUCAAUUGAUCCUGUAUUUUCAGCCUUGGGGUGGGGAACGAGAUGGUGUCAGAGAAUGCUUAAGACAAGUCUGCAUGAAGUCAUGGAUAUUCUUAGUCUUAGACUUUGAUCUGACUAAUGAUGGCUUGAUGAGUUUGAUGUCAUAAUUUUGACAAAUACUCAUGUAAUUAGGAACUUAUGUCAGACAUGAUGGCAAGAGAAAUGAUGCAUCUUGUGAUUGAAGGUGGAAAGGGGGAGGUCAUAAAAUUGCUUUAGUGCUCAAUUUGUAAUAAGUUACAUAACAGGUCUUCUGAUUGGUAUCAGCUGGUUCUUAAACUUUUACUCAACAUUAAAAACUGGCAGUGAUCAUUUACUGGAUUGUUCUUAAUUGUCUUUAACUUGAGAACCUGGUCUUGGGAGUCGAGAAACAAAAAAUUCAAAAACAAAUGUGAAGCCAAAAGAGGAAGGUGAGAAGGACAAAACAAUGCAGGGAGAACCUGGAGCUGUCAUGGAACUUGGUUAGAUCUUGGUUGGAUCAAAGGGAAUGGACCUGUGUUUGGAUUAAAUUUAUUCAACUGAGUCCAAUUAAUUAUUUCCCCCAGUGAUCUGGUUGGUCUGAGGUUCGCUUUGGUUAGCAUAAACCACUGGCAACAUUGUAAGCUUGUUCUCACAAUAUUAUGCUAAAUUAAAUAUUAUAGAGACAGAUUUUACUAUUUUACACAUAAUAUUUAAGCAAGUUAGCGAAUAUUCUUUGAUUUUUCUUUAGCAGGAGAAAGGUUGCUGAGAGAGAGAGAGCUCUCUGCCAGGGUAAAUGACAUUUAAAUUAGGUGCUAGAAACUGAAUCUUGGUGUGCACCUGUGGGAGCAGUUCCCUGCAGGCAUUUUAGUGGACAGAUUGAUUUGCUUAGUGACAUUUCUGUCAUAUAUUUAUAUGAGUGGGCAGCUGCAAUGAUCUGCCCUUUCAUAUUCACACCAGACUCCUAAGGGACAUUCCCUUGGGAACAGAACUUAUAAAAUUAAAAUGCUGAUAAUUACAAUACACACUUUCUUGUCUAUUUUAUCAGGUCAUGCCCAAUUAGUUCUGCUGUUUAUAUUGUGGCCAGUUAAUGUCAAAUGCUGGAUUAAAAUAACAAUAUUUUGUGCUCUCUUUGCUUUUUUUUGUCUCUUGGUGACAUUGGCUCAGACUGGAGUGAGGUUUAUCUUUGCCCACUGACUAAUACCUCAGCCAAGUAUCAAUUCUUGCCGUGAGCCUCAACUGUAAUAUCUUGAGGUAGGCGAGGCAUUAAUGAAGAUCUAGUGACUUUAUUCUGUUACAAGUCUUAUGUUCUGAUAAAUGACACUGUUUUGGAAGAGGCUGUGGAAAAAUCAGCUGGUGAGGUUGCACUAUUCAGAAAUGGGCUGGGCAAUGCUUUGACGGAUUCAAGGCUCAAUUUUAGUUCCCACAGAGUUACAAGCAACCAGUUGUUACCCGUCAAUAGCAAUCUAAUAGUUUCAAUAGUAAUCUAAUAGCCCCACCAAUGUAACCAAGAGGGUAAAAUGAAGGCUUUAUAUAAUGACACCAAGAGUCAAAGUUAAAGAUUAGCUUUAUUUGUCUCAUGUACAUCAAACAUAAAGUGAAAUGUGUUGUCUGUGUCAAUGACCAAUGCAGUACCGCCCAAGAAAUACAUCCAUCUUAAAUUUUCAUGAUGAGGAAAAACUAAGAUAUACUGCUGCUUGGUUGAAGUGAAAGUCAUUUUUUUUUAAUUAAGAGAAUUAUGGAAGUUUAUGCAAGAAAAGGAUUUUAUUAGUUUUGGAAAUAAAAUGACUGGAAAAAUAGUGAAAUUGGAAAGAAGUCAGAACUUCAUCUAAAAGGCAAUAUACUUGGGGACAGUUUUGUGGAGGAUAAAAAUAAUGGGUUCAAGAGGCCAUUUAAAUGUACUUAUUGAAAGAGAAAGAUUGAAGAUUGGUAGAAAAUCUGAGAACAGGACUAUUAUGCUAAAUGGUCCUUUAAUUUUUAUAAAUUCCUAUUUUUAUUCAAACAUUGUCAGCAAAUGAUUAAUUUUUUUAAUCAUUUACUCACUAUCAGGUACAGAAGCAUACCCAGCAAUGGAUUAGAAGAGGAAGGGUUAAGCCAUUUUUUAAAAAAAGAUACAUUGAAGUGUUUAUGAACAGUGAUAAAUUUAUUAAAUGUUACUUUUGACAUGGAUAAAGUCAUAAUUUAUGUUUGAAAAUUAGUGUUUAAUUAAUUGCUAUUUUAGUUGUUGUUGGGCAUUGCUGAGAACCUCACCCUCCCACUUCAGCAUAUCCUCAGAUUUGAUUAGAGUUGCAACCAGCAAAUAAAACAACAAGCAAAGGUUGAAACAUCUCUUUUGCAAACGUUUUGUAACUAGGCUACAAUUGAUAAAGUGAUCCCUAAUUGUUGAGAGACCAAAGAGAAUUGAACGGUUUUCUCUGAACCAAAUUUAAAGCCAGUGCAAAGACUGACACCUCCAACCCCAUCCCUCAGGUUUAUUUAUAUUUGUACCUUGCCUAUCAAUUUCUUUCCAAUGCUGAGGUUUUCUUUUUUCCUCUAAAAGUCAUAGUAAAUAAGAUUUUCUUGACCAAAAUACCAAUAAAAUUAGUAAUUAAGUGAGUUACAGUCAGCAAAUA